ACGCUCGACACCUACGGGAAGCAGCAGUGGGGAAUAUUACACAAUGGGGGAAACCCUGAUGCAGCGACGCCGCGUGAGCGAAGAAGUAUUUCGGUAUGUAAAGCUCUAUCAGCAGGGAAGAAACUGACGGUACCUGACUAAGAAGCACCGGCUAAAUACGUGCCAACAGCCGCGGUAAUCUGAGCGGGCUGGCAAGGC
rnacentral:rRNA from 1 species